UGGGGAAUAUUGCACAAUGGGCGCAAGCCUGAUGCAGCGACGCCGCGUGAGGGAUGACGGCCUUCGGGUUGUAAACCUCUUUCACCAGGGACGAAGCGAAAGUGACGGUACCUGGAGAAGAAGCACCGGCCAACUACGUGCCAGCAGCCGCGGUAAUACGUAGGGUGCGAGCGUUGUCCGGAAUUACUGGGCGUAAAGAGUUCGUAGGCGGUUUGUCGCGUCGUUCGUGAAAACUUGGGGCUUAACUCCAAGCGUGCGGGCGAUACGGGCAGACUUGAGUACUACAGGGGAGACUGGAAUUCCUGGUGUAGCGGUGAAAUGCGCAGAUAUCAGGAGGAACACCGGUGGCGAAGGCGGGUCUCUGGGUAGUAACUGACGCUGAGGAACGAAAGCGUGGGUAGCGAACAGG
rnacentral:rRNA from 1 species